UGGGGGAGUAUUGCACAAUGGGGGAAACCCGUAGCAUGCAGCAACGCCGCGUGAGGGAAGAAGGUUUUCGGAUUGUAAACCUCUGUCCUAGGUGAAGAAAGAAAUGACGGUAGCCUGGGAGGAAGCUCCGGCUAACUACGUGCCAGCAGCCGCGGUAAUACGUAGGGAGCGAGCGUUGUCCGGAAUUACUGGGUGUAAAGGGUGCGUAGGCGGCCGCAUGGGUCAGGCGUGAAAUACAUGGGCUUAACUCAUGGACUGCGCUUGAAACUGUAUGGCUUGAGUGAAGUAGAGGCAGGCGGAAUUCCCGGUGUAGCGGUGAAAUGCGUAGAGAUCGGGAGGAACACCAGUGGCGAAGGCGGCCUGCUUGGGCUUUUUAACUGACGCUGAGGCACGAAAGCGUGGGGAGCAAACA
rnacentral:rRNA from 1 species